rnacentral:rRNA from 1 species
UCUUAUGUACAUGCCUUUAACAUUAAUGAAACAGAUCCCAUUAGAACUAUGCAGUUAAGCAUGCUUGGGAUUGAGUAGUACUGGGAUGGGUGUUGGGUAUGUGUUAUAUUCUUUGCACGAG